rnacentral:rRNA from 1 species
AACGAACGCUGGCGGCACGUCUUAAGCAUGCAAGUCGAACGGCAGGAGAGUAGCUUGCUGCUCUCCUGGAGUGGCGGACUCGUAAGGAACAGGUAGACAAUCUAACCUACAGUUUGGGGUAGCUGCUCGUAGUGACAGGUACUCCCAUAUAGAAUACGACUUUCGCGAGAGAGCUUGAGGACAUCAAGCUACGGCUUCGCGUGUGGAUGGACUUCCGUCCCAUUAGCUAGUUGGUGAGGUAAAGACCCACCAAGGCGACGAUAGGUAGCCGGCCUGAGAGGAUGAACGGACACACUGGAACUGAGACACGGCCCAGACUCCUACGGGAGGCAGCAGCGAGGAAUAUUCCACAAUGGACGGAAGUCUGACGGAGCGACGCCGCGUGGAUGAAGAAGGCUGUAGAGUUGUAAAAUCCUUUUGUUGAUGAAGAAUAGCAGUGAGUUGGAAUGCUCAUCUGAUGACGGUAACCGACGAAUAAGCACCGGCUAACUACGUG